AUGAAUUACCAAAACCACCCGGGGAUUAGUUGCACUUUCACUCUUGUUGUCGCUAUCGUUUUGCAGGAGUAUUAUGAUGUUUUCCCGAAGGAAGUACCACCGGGGCUGCCUCCUAUGAGAGGAAUUGAACAACAAAUUAACUUGAUACACGACGCCUCACUACCCAACCGUGCACCACACCGGACUAAUCCGGAGGAGACCAAGGAGAUUCAGCGACAAGUUCAAGAACUACUCGUUAAAGUCUAUUUUCAGAUUAUUCAAAGCCGAGGACAACUUUGUUUUCAAGAAAGGAAGGAUGAUGUGGACAUGGCCUCUAUAGAUACGACCAAAAAUAUUAUCCUCAUAUACAAUAAUCAGAUGAUUUCCAUUAAUAAUUAUAUAAAUUACUAUUUUGUUACUCGGAAAAGAAAUACAAAACUUUAUUUAUUUUAUGUAGAAUAA
rnacentral:rRNA from 1 species